rnacentral:rRNA from 1 species
GACGAACGCUGGCGGCGUGCCUAAUACAUGCAAGUAGAACGCUGAAGCGAGGAGCUUGCUCUUCUUGGAUGAGUUGCGAACGGGUGAGUAACGCGUAGGUCACCUGCCUUGUAGCGGGGGAUAACUAUUGGAAACGAUAGCUAAUACCGCAUAACAAUGGAUGACCCAUGUCAUUUAUUUGAAAGGGGCAAAUGCUCCACUACAAGAUGGACCUGCGUUGUAUUAGCUAGUAGGUGAGGUAACGGCUCACCUAGGCGACGAUACAUAGCCGACCUGAGAGGGUGAUCGGCCACACUGGGAGUGAGACACGGCCCAGACUCCCACGGGAGGCAGCAGUAGGGAAUCGGCGGCAAUGGGGGCAACCCUGAGCGAGCAACGCCGCGUGAGGGAAGAAGGUUGUCGGAUCGUAAAGCUCUGUUGUAAGUCAAGAACGAGUGUGAGAGUGGAAAGUUCACACUGUGACGGUAGCUGACCAGAAAGGGACGGCUAACUACGUG